CGUGAGUGGCGGACGGGUGGGUAACGCGUGGGUAACCUGCCUCAUACAGGGGGAUAACAGUUAGAAAUGACUGCUAAUACCGCAUAAGACCACAGCACCGCAUGGUGCAGGGGUAAAAACUCCGGUGGUAUGAGAUGGACCCGCGUCUGAUUAGGUAGUUGGUGGGGUAACGGCCUACCAAGCCGACGAUCAGUAGCCGACCUGAGAGGGUGACCGGCCACAUUGGGACUGAGACACGGCCCAA
rnacentral:rRNA from 1 species